CGUACCGUCCAAACGUUAUUCGGAAUUACUGGGCUUAAAGGGUAUGUAGGCGGCGCUGUUAGUCGGGUGUGAAAUCCCACGGCUCAACCGUGGAACUGCGCCCGAUACUGCAGUGCUUGAGGGAGACAGAGGUAAGCGGAACUGAUGGUGGAGCGGUGAAAUGCGUUGAUAUCAUCAGGAACACCGGUGGCGAAAGCGGCUUACUGGGUCUCUUCUGACGCUGAGAUACGAAAGCUAGGGUAGCGAAGGGGAUUAGAUACCCCCGUAGUCCUAGCCGUAAACGUUGAGCACUUGAUCGAGGGCCCCCCAUAGGCUCUCGGUCGUAGCGAAAGUGUUAAGUGCUCCGCCUGGGGAGUAUGGUCGCAAGGCUG
rnacentral:rRNA from 1 species